UACGAAGGGGACUAGCGUUGUUCGGAAUCACUGGGCAUAAAGCGCACGUAGGCGGCCAAUGUCAGUCAGGGUGUGAAAUACCUCGGCUCAACCGAGGAACUGCGCCUGAUAACUGCUUGGCUUGAGGUCCGGAGGGGAGAGUGGAAUUCCCGGUGGAGCGGUGAAAUGCGUAGAGAUCGGGAGGAACACCUGUGGCGAAGGCGGCCGAACUGGGCCGACCCUGACGCUGAGGCGCGACAGCAUGGGGAGCAAACAGG
rnacentral:rRNA from 1 species